rnacentral:rRNA from 1 species
UACGUAGGGCGCAAGCGUUAUCCGGAAUUAUUGGGCGUAAAGAGCUCGUAGGCGGCUUGUCACGUCGGAUGUGAAAGCCCGAGGCUUAACCUCGGGUCUGCAUUCGAUACGGGCUAGCUAGAGUGUGGUAGGGGAGAUCGGAAUUCCUGGUGUAGCGGUGAAAUGCGCAGAUAUCGGAAGGAACAUCAGUGGCGAAGGCGACUUCCUGGACCAAUACUGACGCUCAGGUGCGAAAGCGUGGGGAGCAAACAGG